rnacentral:rRNA from 1 species
CACGGGGUUGCGAGCGUUGUCCGGAAUUACUAGGCGUAAAGGGAGCGCAGGCGGCCUUUAAGUCUGAUGUGAAAGCCCACGGCUUAACCGUGGAAGGUCAUUGGAAACUGGUCGACUUGAGUGCAGAAGAGGGAAGUGGAAUUCCAUGUGUAGCGGUGAAAUGCGUAGAGAUAUGGAGGAACACCAGUGGCGAAGGCGGCUUCCUGGUCUGUAACUGACACUGAGGCGCGAAAGCGUGGGGAGCAAACAGGAUUAGAUACCCUGGUAGU